rnacentral:rRNA from 1 species
GUUGUUGUGGAGAAAUCAAUUGUGUGGAACGGGUUGUUGUGGGGUUGAGACCUUAUCAGCUCUCCUUACUCUUUACCUUUUUCACGCAAUGCACUUUCUCUUUAACAAGUCAACAUCAAUUUCUUUUGUUGUAAAAGGGCCGGCGGAAGGUGGCUUUCUUUUCGGAGAAAGUGUUUAUAGCCGUUGGUCUCUACAAUCGGAGAGAUUGAGGUCUGCAGCGUAGAUCCUUCGGGGUUAGAUACGUUGGUGCUAAGUUAUAAUCCUAUAUAGACAACUUGUUGACUAUAUUCGAUCAUGUAGCUUACUCGCUAGCGCUAUUUUACCUAC